rnacentral:sRNA from 1 species
GCCAGGCAUGGUGACACAUGCUUGUAAUCCCAUCUACUGGGGAGGCUGAGGCAGGAAAAUUGCAAGUUCAAGGCCAGCUUGGGCAACUUAGCAAGACUCUGUCUCAA